rnacentral:pre_miRNA from 1 species
AGUGGAAUUGCUGGGUCGUACGGUAAGGGUAUGUUUAAUUUUAUAAGAGACUGUCAGACUGUUUUUCAAAGUGACUGUACUAUUUGGCAUCCCCAGGAGCAAU